AGCAACCAUUUUCUGAUAUAAAUGUCCUUGUUAUCUACUAUUAUCUAAAAAUAAUCAAGUUAUUAAUGACUGGACGAAACCAAGAAAUAACCCCUUAUGUGCGAAAUUAUAGAAGAUCCCCUUUAAGAUCAAACAAUUCCAUCGAAUUGAGUAUGACUGUAUGUGUGAUAGCAUCUACUAUACCCCUAUAUUAGUAGAUGUUAAUGAAUUGAUAAGAGACUUGUACCAUCAAGCUAUUCGCAAGGGCCAACUUGAUCCUCUUCCCCAGGGAUCCCAGAUGAGGGAAGCCUAGGAGAGCCGCCGACUCCAACUAUCGUCCAUGUACGAUCCAUACUAGAUCUGACCAACUACCCAUCCUACCUCCUCUACCUUUUUGACAGCCCAUUUUUUUUGUCUCAGUAGAGUCUUUCAGUGGCAUGUUUCAGUCCUCUUCCCCAUUACUUAGAAAAAGUGAGCCACCGGUUCAGGUACAAGUUACUAUCAUUACCGCCUGGACAAUUAGACAGCCAACCCGUAAUCGCAACGACCCAAUUGCAAGAGCGGAGCCUCAUUUCAGGAACAGGACAAAAAGUGCACAAAAGGUGUACUGUGUCAUCUUUGUAAAUAACACAGGAUUUGUGUGCGGGUGUGUUGGGUGGGUGAGUGGGGGGCUAAUCAUGCAUACUCGCUGAUAGUUGGAUUGAGAGUGUUGCCUUACUCUCCUUAUAUAAUUUUCGCUACAAUACCUCCUUAGUGCCAUUUGCAAAGGUUUUUUUUGAGGGAGUUGCUUAAGUUUUUCAGUUGGCUGGUGUACCGGUUUGAUAGUUGAAUUGAUGUAGCUUCACGAUGUGACAGGAGAGAGGUAGCAAGAGGAGGGUAGAUUAUUGAAUUGUACACUCUGCACUUCUUUUAUUGAUAAACUGCACAUCUUUGAUAAACUGGUGGCAUUCAGGUGGACACAAAUGGUAGGGGAGCGCUUGAUUAUGGGGAAUUUUUGGCGGUCUCUCUUCAUUUGCAAAGGAUGGCAGAUGACGAGCACCUUCGGCGGGCCUUCCUAUUUUUUGACAAGGAUGGCAAUGGCUUCAUUGAGCCUGAGGAGCUUCGAGAGGCUCUAGUGGACGAUGGAGCAGCUGAUAGCAUGGAAGUGGUGAAUGACAUAUUGCAAGAAGUUGACACUGAUAAGGUCAUUGUACUCUCAUAUCUAAUACAACUGUUAUUUUGGUUCUCCGUUCAUCUGAAUGAAUAUCUUCUCUAUUUACAUCUGCAGGAUGGCAAGAUUAGCUAUGACGAAUUUGUAGCGAUGAUGAAGACCGGUACAGAUUGGAGAAAGGCGUCCCGGCACUAUUCAAGAGGAAGGUUUAAUAGCCUUAGCAUGAAGCUUAUAAAGGAUGGUUCGGUAAAAUUGGGUGUUGAGUGAAAACAGCGACCUGCAUCCAUAUGUGUGCAUGUAGUUAGGCCCUUGGCUCCACUAAGCAGAAGUUCUUUGGCCCCCUUUUCUUUUCUCAUGAUUAUCUUGCGUGGAAAUUUAGAUAGGUGAACCCUCUGAUUGGCUUACCUGUGUAAUUAGCUCUCCUGGUUUCGCUGACAAGCACGCACUGAGCCGAAUGUACCAAAUGCUGUGCGCCUGCUUUUCUCCAGUUUGAUCCUGUGGCACCUGAUGCCAAGUGUUGUACAACACAAUGUGUUUACAGUCUUGAAAUGCAGUUUGUUGACCUAGCGUGAUGGCAGUGGCAAAGUUCAUUAUAUCUGGUUUGUAUCGGCAGAUGCCGAAUGUGCUAGACUGCAAGUGAGUGGUAGCCUGCCUCCUGCCUGCAAUGUGAUGCCGAAAUAUAAGAUAUGAUGCAAUUGUUCACCUAGUACACUGGGUGGGUGGUGCAACGCAGACAAUAUCGGAUGCUGCUCUAUCUGCCUGCCAAGCAAAUUGCUCUCACCCUGAUGCUUUCGUGACCGAGAAGCCGGGUGACCUCGAUGGUGCCAGCAUUCCGCCACGUGAUAUGCAUCAUGCUGAACGCUGGAGUGCACAAAGCCAGAACCACGAACCCCUGGCCGCAUCAGCCGUGGAGCAUAAUAUGGUAAGGCUAAUGUGGCCGAAUUCCCGGCGGGAACAAGAUUAAGCCGGGAAGCACACGGCUCCAUUUGACAGGCAUCCGCACCUCCGCAGGUGAGGUGAAAAAAAAAAUCCGUUCUUGUCACCAAUGGCCGAAUAAAUCCGUGUGCGCCGCUCACUGCUUUCCGUCCGCCCGCCUCGGGAUAACAUUCAUUUCAUGUGCUGCUUGCUCUUCGCUAAUCCCCCCAACUAAACCGGACCUGAUGAGCUGCCGUGCCGUGCCACGCCGCUGUGUUGGCAGGCUAUUGGCUGCCUACUCGAACCGCACCGUGCCAACUAUCGUGGAACAUCUGCGCCAACACGAGUAGUAUUAUCUACUACCGCCGUCGUCAAAAAGUGGCCGAGACUUGUGUGACGAGGUGCGCGAUUCUACGAGCACGCCGGCACGCACGUCAGGUUCAGAGUGGCAUGGUCAGCCAUGUAAAAGUUGACCCAGGUUGAAGUCACUCGCCACUGCCACUAGUACCUCAUCCGCCACUCGCUCCUCCUCGCCCGUCAGCACUGCGCAGACAGCGCGACGUGCGGCGCUGGCCCCACUGCCCCGCGCGCCGGCCGACGUCACAUCUCAGAGGAAGGGGGGAAGCAAAGCGCGAGGCCGCAACGCAAACGUGCGCCGGGAGCCUGGCCGGACGAGCUGGAGCCUGUCGGCGAGGCGACGCAGUUGGCUGGCGCUGGCAGCGACCGGCCCACUGGCACUGGCCUGUCCGUCCGGUCUGCGCGAGGAGGCGGGUGCGCGGCGCGCCGCCAAAACGCGCGGCCCCCAACCCCAAAGGCAAAGGAUUGCCAGUGGCCGGGGGUGGCUGUCGGCAGCAAAAUUCCGUUCCCACCGGGGCUCUUGCGGCGGCGCGCGUUGCGGCGCUGCGCCUAUUGGCUGGCUCCGGCUCACAUACUCGUUGCUGCCGCGCCGGCGCCGCCACUAGCUCUGCCGCAUUGCAUAUGCCACCGGCGGACGCCGCUUUCUUUCUCGCGAGCGGCCACAGGCCACGCGGCCCUGCGCUGCGCCGUCCGCUGCGUCCCGCUUUGCUCCGGACUGUGCGUGUAUAUGUGUGUAUAUAUAUGUAUAUAUAUAUAUAUGUAUGUAUAUUAUAUAUAUAUAUGUAUAUAUAAAAAUAAAGAUGCAUUCGCGGAUGCGACGGUACAUGAAUGGGGUAGGGCCGGACCGGAGCCGAACGGGAUGGAUGCUAGCUAAUUAAUCAAUCGAGGACAAAGACAUCAUCAUCAGAGGCCCCCAGUUCAAUGCGGCUGGGUUCCGGACUGGACGGCAAUGGCACGCCAUGUGGCCGCCGAUCUCAUCUCCGGAUCCUUCCGCGGCGCCGGCGAUGUCUAUCUGCAAGGCAGUACGCACGAGGUGAAUUGUCUGUCCCAUGCCCUACUUUGCUCUGCUCUCCGGCAGGCCGCACGCACCGUAGCAUGCCAUGCCGCUGCCCGCUGGUACAAACUGAGAUCACUGUCGCUUGCUCGGACGCUGGCAGGGAAUCUUGCCGAUCAUGCAACGAUAGAUAUGCCAGGAUUUCUCUUCAUCGGAGCAGCUUCGAUCUUCUGGUAUCGGGCAAACUCAUCAGGUUGCCGACGACUUGUUUUUGUCUCUUAGCAAUAUUUUACAAUUGCGGCGGGCUAACGGUAUACAAGGCCAGUCUCACUGCACAAUUUCAUGGCACAGUUACUAAGGCUGAGAACUUAACUGUGCUUGCUGGAUUUCAUGGUGAUGAAACUCCCUCUCAUCUCUCCUCAUAAUGACCUUGCCACGUAAGCAAAAAUUGCUAAUGCAGCAUUGAUAUUUAAUGAUUAUGAAAUUUUUGAUGAAACUCUAAAAAUCAGGCUAUGAAUUAGACCAGGCAACUAUAGAUUUCCAGAUGGGCCAGGCCCAUUGGACAGCCCGAGACCCGACACUAAAAAGCACGGCACGAGCACAGGCCCGGCACGAGGUGAAUAGUGGCAGGGCCAGCCCAGCACCAUGAUAGUGCCGGGUCUAGGCCGCAUCCUCGGCACGUUGGGCUAGCACGAGCCCAGCACAAUUUUUAAGCUCGCCCGAUGCCAGCCUGAUACCCUAGCAACCCUCUCCAACCGUUAGAUGAGCAUACGCUCCCCUCCCCACCGUUGGACGAGCAACCCACGCCACCACGGCUGCCCCUCGACCCUUCCCCCGGCUCCCCUCACGCCUCCAUCGGGGGCUGUCCGCCGUCGCUACCUGGAGGGGCGUCCACCGGUGCUGGGGUCGCCGCGGCCGCGAGGCGCUCCUGCCGUUGCUGGGGGCCACCAUCGCCGGGGCACCCCUCCACCACCGCCACCCCUCCCUCCCUCCAUCAACUGUCACCCCUCCCUCCCUCCAUCAACCGUCGCCCCUCCCUCUCCUCACUCCUCCUCCGCCGCCACCACCCCUCACUGUUCCGUCGUCGCCGCUGCUGCGGGGGACGCGAUCGGGACCCGGUCGCCGUGCUGGUCGCCGCCAGGGUUGCCGCCGGGGGUCGCCGCGGGGGGCGGCUACCGCCAUCGCCCGCCGGGGGCGCCUGGAGCUAGCCGUCGCUGCUAGUGUCAGGCCGGGCACUAGCACGGCAGGACCCGUCCUGUCAGCGGGCUGGCUCGGCCCGAUAAAAAGGCCGUCGGGCCGGGCCUGCCUUCUCGGUAUGCAAUGCCAGCCCGGCCCGGCACGAAAACCUUUCGGACCUAUUAGUACCGGGCCUAAGUAGUACCGGGCCACAUCCGGCUAGUGCUGGGCUAGGACCGGGCGGCCCAUUUGGAAAUCUGUACGGGCAACCCAGCCGCAGCACACAAAUCCCUGCACUGCAUGGUCGACCGCUACAACUAGACAAGUCGCAUCCACGUGUUGCCACAGCGCCGCUCCGGCUCUCUCCGCGGCCGCUGGCUUCUUCUGUCGUCUCCCGCUUUAUCUAUCCCAAAGCUUCUUCAUUUGUCAUUCUCACAUGCAGAGUCCACAGCGCAUUGCGGCGACCCCCGGCCGCCAUUAACACCGUCGGCACUUUGGCGCUUUGCACUCCGUAGCUAACUGUGCCAUGUGGAGAUGGUGUCGCCGUCAGUUAGGAGGAGAACCUAAUUAAUGGAACCGUCACUCAGCCCAUGCGGCGAGCCGACCGAGAGGCAACACGACAAGAAUGGGGCACUACUCCCAUAAAUUGGAAAGGAUGGAUAUGCCAAACCAGGGAAUAGUUGCUUGUUGUCGUGACACCCGAAAUCCUAUCAGGUGUCCAUGCUUAGCCCGCAAACAUGAAACCAGAUAUCUCCUAAUGGGUGUUUUUCCAAGGAAAUUCUUUUGGUUGGGAUCUUUGCUUUUGUGGCCAUGGCUAAACUGACAUGUAAAUAGAUUCGAAACAAGUAUUCGUCAACAAGAAUAACUAAGGGGCAUACGAGAUUUAUAAUUAACCAUUUGAGAGUUAUGAUUAUUUUUUAGAUGCCAAGAAGUCAUCUGCGAAAAGAAAACAACUUAUUUGAGUAGUUCCUUUGGACCAUAUAAAUGUUUUACUUACUCCAUUACAAGUUAUACAUUGAUUUGUGCAUCGCAAUUAAGAUAUAGUAGAUAAAAUAAAUCAAUCAGUUAUAUAUAGCUACAAUUGUCAUAUCUGAAUUUCAUAAAAAAAGGAAAGGUGCAUUUUUUUAUUUCCAAGACAGCUUAUAUUUCAAAUAAUUAUUUAUUUAACAAGAAUUAAAAGAGAAAAUGUGUGUUUUGAAUGUGCAAGACGACUUAUAUUUCGACUAAUGUUGAGAAAACUAGAAUGUCUUGUAUGUUAGAAAUUUAGGCAUUUUAUGGCAUAUUUUAAUUCCGAAUAUAAUUAAGUAACUCAUGAUUAUUGUGAGUGACACAGAGCAUGUGCAAGUGUUUAUGUUUGUAACACAUUCGAAUAUAAACAGAAUGAAAAGGAAGAACCAAAGAAGGUUCAGUGUAGAAGGUUCAGUGUGUACCCAGGGGCGGGACCAUUGUCGGAGGCAGUGGAUGCGCCGUUCAUAGAACUGGAAGUAUCAGACAUUGUGCCUGAAUCUUCGGUUCGGACUGUUUGAUGUAGUCGAUCAGAGUUGGCGCAGUGACGACUUGGUGCAGUGCAGUCCCUCGAACGCCUCCAAGAAGUAGUAGGACGUAGUCGUUCGCAGCGAGUAGUCGCGCAGAAGAUGCGCUCCCUAAAAACUUGAUCGCCUGCCUACUCGUGCAAGUGUCGCAGCAAGAUGAAAUUUCGGAGGCCUGCUCACACAAGCUCUGUGUGCACAGAGGCUCGCGAUGGAGAUGCAAAAGUAGCAGCGGGCAACAACAAAAAGGGGGAAGAGAGUGGGUUUUUCCAGAGUAUGUUAACCAGAGUGCGAGCACCUUUAAUAGACACAAGAGAAAGGAGAUUCAACACACUGUCUCAGGUGAUUGAUAGCCAUUAACCAGCCAUUCAACGGUGUCAAUUACCAGUAACCUCCAGCCGUCAUUGUUGUCAACCUUUUAAUUCACGUCAGUUACUGGUCACUAAACAUAGCGUCACUUACUAGUCAUCAACUCGUGAUUAAAAACUACAAAACUAGACCAAGCCCAGCCCACACGUUUCCACGCCACGCUGGGCCUCGGCACGGCUCGGCUCGGUGAGCGAGCACGCGCGCGUGUGACACCCUUUCUCUCUUCCUCAACUUCUCAAUUAGUGCAUAGAUAAUCCACCUAUUUAAGUUUAUUAAGAUACUCCUUAACUACGCAUUUAGGAUUAACUGAGAUUAAAUGAAAUAAAUGGGCCUAGCCCAAAUAUUCCAACAUUGUAUAUAUGAAAAUACUCUAAUGGAUAGAAGAACACAAAGUUUGUCAUCAAGUGUAAUAACAAGUAUGCUUUCUAAAAUGAGUUUACACAAAAAAACAAACAUGUCGAAACACACUUUUUCGAGGUAAUUGAAUUAUAAAGUCUACUACGUAAACUUAUGCUAGCAAAGCGGUAGCAAAUGAAUCUAUUUAAAGUGUGCAAAGAUAAUCUAUAGGAAAAACUAAAAUCAUGUAUAGGUUACUACAAUUAUUAAUUAUUGUAUCAAACAGCACAUGUGCUAUGAACGUGCUGAAUGGACAACAUCAUUUUCAAGGUAUCUAUUUGGCUGUGUCAGCCGCCAAUGCACACCUCAAAAAUAAGUUAUAUAUGAACCACUAGUAUUCACGCAACAGACUAAGUCGUAUAGUUUGAAUAUGAUAAAAAAAUAUUUUUCUGAUAUUAAAUUAUAAUAAAGAUAUAUUGUUCUCAUACAAUUAUACGAGUGGUUAAAAUAACAAAGAUGAUAAUCAUGGAAAUAUUUUUAGCCAUUGCAUUGAAGUAAAAAAAUGAACAUAUUUUUUCAAAUCAACCUAAAAUGCUACAUGUUACACAGUAUAUUGAUAUAAUUCAUGCACACAUAAUUACAAUAUUAUUCUCAUUCAUGAUAUGUAAAUACACUUUUAAAAAGUUGAAUAAAGCUCAUUUUGUUGUAUAACUUUAUAAAGGAUAAUUUUUUAUUUCAUAAGUUUUAACUAAUAUUGUUCCAUCGUGGUGCAUGUCAAUAUGGGAACAAUAUUCUCCACAUUUCUAAUUAAUUGUACCAAAGGUCAUGUGAAAAAUUUAUAGUUUAAUUAAUGUUCAUCAGAGUUCUCUCACACUCCAUUAGUGUGUAGCAUAUGUUUCAAAGUUGUAUGAUGACUUAAAAAAAAUGGAUAAAGGGCAUAAAUAAAAAAAGGAGGAUAACAUGCAUAUAGCAAUCCUAGGCGGCAGGGAGGAGUGAUUUUAGGAUUCCAUGCAAUGAUUUUGGUACAAACCCGAGUUGCUUCACUUUUUUUGGCUCAAAUUUACCUUAUUGGGACAAACUUGAGUAUACAUGUAUUACACAUAUGAAGAUAAUAUAUUAGAAGAUCACGUGUAAUUUCAUCUUAUAUACCACGCUUGAGGUUAGACUCUUACUCUUCUGGAGUGACAGCCCCCUUCAUUGACAAUACCCUCUUUCAUAGACAUAAAGUUGAAACCCGAUCUUUCACAUAAUAUAUCUUUUGAUCAUCUUGCAUAUAUAUUUCACAUCUUACUAAUUACAUUCGUACUUAUAAUUUACUUCUCUCCUUAUCUGCUCAAAAUAUUUACCUCUACUUCAUCCAAUCGGAAAAAUAAGUCCAUUAGUACAUCGACAAGGUCUACAAGAUAGGCCCUUUGGCUAGCAAUAAGGCCCUAUUUGGAUGGGCUAGAAGUAAUUUUUAGCUAGGAUUAAAAAUUAGCUAGCUAAAAGGUGGAUAGCUAAAAAUUAGUUUAGUCCAAACUGUUUGGAUACAUGGACUAAAUAUUAGCUAGGUACUCCCUCCAUUCUCUUUUGAUAGGCAUAUUGCUAAAAUUCAUAUUUUCCCAAAUGAUAGUCCUAUUUGCCAACAAUGUGGGUGCAGCAAUAAAUUGCAUCAACAACAAGAGUCAUCGCAACAACUAUUGGAGGAUUGUAAUGAAAAAAGCUUGUUUGUAGGACUGUAAUGAAAAAAAGUUUGUUUGUAUUAAUUAUACGAUAAGUAGAGUUGUUUUUGUAACGACCCAACCCAAGAAAAUGGCUCAUGCCCACUCUACACGCUCAGUGGACCACACCUACACUGCAACCUGCUUACGCUUUCAUCCUCACUUCGCGUAAAAGGGUUAACCCGAGGUUGUAAUGCUUCCUAGAGCUAGCUAUUUAAGUUGGCUCAUCUCACUCUCCACUUCCCAUUUGGGACUAUUCUAGAGCUACCAUGCCUCAUGCAUGGCACUCAAAUUGUUUGGCUCAACUUGACCCAUGGGUUGUUACAGUUUUUCUUGGUCAUUGUGUCAGAUGAAAUAUCCCUAUCAAAAUUGAAUAGAGGGAGUACAAAGCAAAGACCAUCGUCCAUCGUGCCCCUCCUUUUGGAAUGAGAGUUGGAGGUGGGGGUGUUUGUGUCUUUUCCCAUCCAUUGCCUGCUUUUAGAUGCUUUUAGCUACUUUUAGUUGCAUUAUAAGGGCUAAUGGACUAAUUUGUAGUUAGGUUAUAGCUAAUUUUUAGUCUACCUUUCUGUUUGGAGCGCCUAGAGCUAAUUUUAGCCAGCUUAUUUGGGGUCUCAAAAAACAGGCCCUAAGAGCAACUCCAAGAGACUGCUAAUCUUACCCCUAAUACUUUUUUUAGGAAAAAAGAGAGAAAAAAUGAACUCCAACAAUCCACCUAAACCUUCCCCAAUUUUUUAGCGACGCUAAAAAACAGCCUGCCACCGUGUAUAUUUUAGCGUUGGCGUUCCUCCCCCAAUCCUGAUUCCCGCACGCCCGCGCGUCCCUUCCGAUGGGCCCAAUAUGAUGACGUGGCCUGUGUUUGAAAUAUUGGGGGCUAUUUAUUAGCGAUCUGCUGUGGACUGAUAUGUUUUUGGGGGAAAUUUUUUUUAGGAGAAUCCCUAAUACAUAGUUUUGGGGAAGAAUUUUUUAGGCUACUCUUGGAGUUGCUCUAAGAGCAACUCUAAGAGGUUGUUAAUCUUACCCCCAAUACUUUUUUUAAGAAAAAAGAGAGAAAAAAUAAACUCCAACAAUCCACCUAAACCUUCCCCAAUUUUUUAGCGACGCUAAAAAACAGCCUGCCACCGCGUAUAUUUUAGCGUUGGCGUUUCUCCCCCAAUCCUGAUUCUCACACGCCCGCGCGUCCCUUCCGAUGGGUCCAAUACGAUGACGUGGCCUGUGUUUGAAGUAUUGGGGGCUAUUUAUUAGCGAUCUGCUGUGGACUGAUAUGUUUUUGGGGGAAAUUUUUUUGGGAGAACUCCCAAUACAUAGUUUUGGGGAAGAAUUUUUUAGGAUACUCUUGGAGUUGCUCUAAGUAAUCCAAUACAAGCUAGAUGGCCCUUCGGCUAGCAAUAAGGAUACAUUAUCCUAAAUGGAAGGAGUUAUAUAUAUAAUUAUUCUAAUAAUGAAUCUAGUAACUUAUAAUCUUAUGUCGUCCGUCUAAACAAAGUUUUAUAUAUUCUUGAUUAAAGUGAGAAACAUGUGACUUAGAAUAAAUAAUCUAAAUAUACUUAUAUUUUCGAUCGAGAAAGUAAUAUGUAUCUCCUAACUACUUUCCUUUUUAGCGGAUGUGGGUAGGAUAGUUCACAAGUUUAAGGCCUGAUUUGGUUCGGUUGCUUAUUUUUAAGCAACCGUCACAUCAAAUGUUUAGAUACUAAUUAGGAGUAUUAAACGUAGACUAUUUACAAAAUCCAUUACAUAAGCGGAGGCUAAACGGCGAGAUGAAUCUAUUAAGCCUAAUUAGUCCAUGAUUUGACAAUAUGUUGCUAUAGUAAACAUUUGCUAAUGAUGGAUUAAUUAGGCUUAAUAGGUUCGUCUCGCCGUUUAGCCUCCACUUAUGUAAUAGGUUUUGUAAAUAGCCUAUGUUUAAUACUCCUAAUUAGUAUGUAAACAUUUGAUGUGACACUUGCUAAAAAUAAGUAAAGGGAACCAAACGCAUCCUAACCCAUGACAUGAGAGCUUAGCAUCAAAUCAAUCUCGUCUUCCUUACCAGAGCUUAAGGCCUGGCGUCACAGCACGGCAAGAUGCCACGGUCACCUGUACUGCUGUACCCGUAAAAAAUGGAAAUCAGAAUUAGGUAAACACCGACGGUGCUGAUGUGGGCGUACGAAUCACGAGGCAGGAGGGAGGGCUGUAGUAGUGUUACGGGGCCUGGCGGACACUGUUGUAGUGUUGUGCCUUAGAAACCAUUUUUUCCGAGCAUGGGUUUGCAGAUACGCGGUCACCGUGGAAUUCUCGGGCCGGUCGAGAGAGAGAGGCCGUACCAGUACGUUUUUACAACCGAGUCCAGCUGCGCCCCCCACCCAGUUGUCAGCAUCAACCGCAGCAGAUCCCGGCCAAAUCCGCACAAAAAACACGUUUCAACCUUUUUGGUCCUGCGGUGCCCAGCUGUGUACCUCUCGCCGCCGCGGCCACGGGCCACGGCUAAGCAACCCGGUCGACCAGACCAGGUGAGAGCAGCGAAUUGUCCGCCCAGAAGAGAAAACAAAAGCAAAGCAAAAACAGCCAGAGAACUUUUUCGCUUCUCUCUCCACCUCUCCCCUUUAUUCUCUCUCAUCCCCCCCCCCCCCCCCCCCCCCCCCCCCCGCGCGCUCUAUCUGGCAUUUCAUUUCGAAGAUGUCUAUCUCGGUCUCUCCAUCUCCGGCUAUAUAAGAUCGGAGGAGCAAGGCAUACCGCAAGCUCAGCUCAGCUCUCUCACUCCACAUAGAACUCGAGGUUUAUCCGUCACAGUACGUCCUCUGGCCAUUAUUAUUCCUUCUUGUGUUCUAGCUCGAUCGUGUUCUUAUCGGCACAGCACGCGUCCAUACCUCACCCUCGCGCGCCACAUAACCCACGAGUGGUCAUCGUCGCCGUCGUCCUUGUCGUCGCUCUGGCAUUCCCAUGAUCCCAUCUCGUGCCCUGUCCCGUUUAAUCCCCUCCUCGCAUCGCGGGAUCGAGAUCGUCCGUAGACCCGGUCCCCUCGUGUGUUUCCCCACUUGUUCCCGCGCGCGAAACGCAUAUGGCUGCAGUCAGCUCGUUUCUAACUGUAGCUAGCUACCUAUAUAUCCACAGCUGCUACUGAUCGAGUUACUCCUCGCUCUCGUUUCGCACUGUAGCUACAUAUCGUCAGCAUUUGGUCGGUCGUUAAUUCCUUCGUCGUCACUGUUGCACAGGCCGCGCGGCGCUCCGGGGGUUUACAGAUGGCGGACUGCAUGCAGGAGUGGCCGGAGCCCGUCGUCCGCGUGCAGGCGCUCGCCGAGAGCGGCCUGUCCGCCAUCCCGCGCUGCUAUGUCAAGCCGCCGUGCGACCGCCCCGUGGCGCCGCCGCCGGCCGCAGCCCUGGAAAAGGAGCAUUUUUUGGACGACGUCAGCAUUCCGGUGAUCGACCUCGGCGAGCUGCUGGCGGCGGAAGGCGGCGGCGCCGGCCUCGGCGACGUCACCGAGGCCGUCGCGGCCGCCUGCAGGGAGUGGGGGUUCUUCCAGGUCGUCAACCACGGGGUGCGCCCCGAGCUGAUGCGCGCGGUGCGGGAGGCAUGGCGCGGCUUCUUCCGCCGCCCGCUCGCGGAGAAGCAGCGCUACGGCAACUCGCCGCGCACGUACGAGGGCUACGGCAGCCGGCUGGGGGUCCAGAAGGGCGCCGUCCUGGACUGGGGCGACUACUUCUUCCUCCACCUCGCGCCGGAGGCGGCCAAGAGCCCGGCCAAGUUCUGGCCGGCCAACCCCGGCAACUGCAAGUAUGUGUUUUCUCCGCAUUUUCAAACUCAUUUUUCUGGAUCCUAAGCUGCUGCUAGCGUUAUAGCUCACCCAUGUGCAUUUAGCUGCGAUCGAUAUUAUGGUGCACAUGAGUCAUUCAUCUCUAGGUUCUAGGUAACACGAACCUCCCGCUUGGAACACAUGAAAUAAGUUCUGGUUUCAAACAAGAGUUGAACCUAAAUCAUUUUUUUUUUACUUCGGAAGAGUAGGUUUGGUUGAAGUAUGCAACGUCGGAGAUUUAACUUUUCUUCUUUUUGAGCAUGUUAUAUGGGUCGAAUUGAACUCCAAAAUUUUAGGAGUCGCAGUAGUUCUAGUUCAUAUGAUUGAGUACUUGAUUAGUCCAAAUUUUCAAUCGUCUAGAUAGAAAAAUUCAUGAUGAUGACAAGAACACACAAUUUAUUUUUUUUUCUAUAGAAAGACAUUAUCCAUAUGUCCUGUGUAUCCUUCUAGACCUAGUUAUAAUUAAGUUUGUUAGAGCUGACCUUUUUUAGUUUAAUGUUCACAAUAUGCUUCUUAUUUGUAUUGUAAAAAGGGAGCACGUGGUGCAGGAAAGUGAAAUCCCCGGAAAAUCGUAUUAAACAACGAUUUUGAAUGACAUACUGAGAAAAUUACACAACUGAACUUAACUUUGCUAUCCUUCAUAUAUAAAACAUAUAUGUAUGUUGAAUUAGGUUUGGGCACGUUUUACCUUUGAACAGUGCAGUGAUUGUUCUGAAAUAAAUUAACGUAACUGUCCCUGCCCAUGCCGUACUUCUCCGGCCAUUACAGCUCGUUCCCUAGUCGUUGUGGAGCCUAAAACGUAGCAUAAAACUAUAAGAUAUGAUAACACUUACGCCAUAGAAAUUAAAUAACUUACAUCUUCGUGACUCAGCACCCGGAAUACAGCACGUGCAUGAAACGGAAAGUAGGCCGAUGGUGCUUUCAUGCAAAAUGUCUAGAGCCAGAGAGGGAAUACAAGUCCAAGCCUAUAUGGUAGCGCAGCACGGACGUGCUCAUGCUAAAAUCAGAAGAGGGGUGUCCCUGUCGUAGUAGUAUAGUAGGCCAUGCGUCCAUACCAAUUAUGUACCGACCUCGAUAACUGCAGUAAAAACAGGCCACCAAGCACGUCUCGCAAAAACUGCACCAUACUGUUGCGUACUGAUCAUCAUAUAUGCAUGUGAAAACACAGGCUCAUGUACGUAUUGAUGUAAGUAUGUAUAUAUAUUAUAUAUAUAAAUAAUGCAGGGAGGUGUCGGAGGAGUACGGGCGCGAGGUGGUGCGGCUGUGCGAGCUGCUGAUGCGGGUGCUGUCCGUGAGCCUGGGGCUGGACGAGGCGCACUUCCAGCGGGCGUUCGGCGGGGCGGCGUGCGGCGCGACCCUGCGCGCCAACUACUACCCGCGGUGCCCGCAGCCGGACCUGACGCUGGGCCUCUCCGCGCACUCGGACCCCGGCGUCCUCACCGUGCUCCUCGCCGACGAGCACGUCCGCGGCCUGCAGGUCCGCCGCGGCGCCGGCCAGUGGGUCACGUUGCAGCCCGUCCGCGACGCCUUCAUCGUCAACGUCGGCGACCAAGUCCAGGUACUAUACGUAUAAUAACCGCCAAUAUCCGCUGUACAUCGUCCUAGCUAGAAAGCUACAGUACCUAGGGCGGUGCACACGCACGCAUGCACCUGCUGCCCGUUGGCCUAUUAAUAAGCUAUCUCUAUCUCCCUACUAUAGCGUGCGCGCGCGUCGACGUCCGGCUUCUAGAAAAGCUCAAUAACAGCACUUCUUGUCGAGUAGCUAGCUCUAGAGCUAGGUAGCUAGUCGAUGACGAAGAUCGUGACCGUGCGACUCGUGACUGUCACGUAUACCUACUACCUGGCUACCUGUUGUACACAAACGUGAGGUAUUUGGUCUUGUCGGUACACGCGUGCACGUACAGCUAGCUAUAUAUCUCCGGCGCCGGUCGUCGCCUUGGUUGAAACUUAAGAACUGGCAAAUAGUAAUUAAUUAAAGAGAAAAACGAUCCGAUGGAUCUUAUCUGCAUAUGUGUAUGUCAGCAACAGCAUUCAUUCUGCUCUAAGAAAACCUAUAUUAAUUCCAGCAGUUGACUUCCAACCGAUACAGUACAUGCUAGAUAUAUAUGAUCGUUGGCUUCGAUUCCUGCGGCGAUCGAUCUUUCUCGCUACCUGGACGGUGGACGACGACGCCAUGAGAACACAUGCAUGGGGCGGUGAUCUAGCGAAAUCUUGUCGUGCUGAUGAACGAAGCAGCUAGGCGCUAGCUACCUUGGAUAGGCAUGCAUGCAUGUUACAGCGGCGACCGACGAAUCGCGCCACCCGAAAGCACAUGCACCGGCGGAGGGCCAGUUCAUCGGUCAUCAACGAUCAUCCCGUGCACUGGCCGGUAGAUAGCCCUCUAGAGAUAUUUCCACUUGUACUAACUUCAACUUCCUCCCAUUUGAAACAAAUGCUACUGUUUAAUUAUGUACUCCCUCCAUUCCAAAUUAUAGCUCGUUUUAAUUUUUUUCCAUAGAUAUACCCUAUAUCUAGAUGCUAAUAAUAUCUAUGCAUCUAAAAAAAUCAAAACGAUCUACAAUUUGAAAGGAGGGAGUACUGAUAAAAAAAAUACUUCAGCUUUCCCUAACUUUUGGAUACGAAUCGAACGCUGAUAAACCUUGAAUCUGUUCGCAGAUACUGAGCAACUCGACGUACAAGAGCGUGGAGCACCGGGUGAUCGUCAACGCCAAGCAGGAGCGCAUCUCCCUCGCGCUCUUCUUCAACCCCAAGGGCAACAUCCCCAUCUCCCCGGCGCCGGAGCUGGUCACGGCCGCCGACGGGCCGCCGCUCUACCCGCCGAUGACCUUCGACGAGUACAGGCUCUUCAUCAGGAAGAAGGGCGCCAAGGGCAAGGCGCAGAUCGAGGCUCUCAAGGGCCAGGCCCCGCCCGAAAACUAGGUCGGCUAGCUAGUAGCUGCGUUACUACUCCAGUUAUUAAAAAUAAGCAACAGCAUGUAUGUAUGGCAACUAUUAAUCCGGAGUUAGUUUGGCUGUCAGCUGCCUCGAGCUCCCCCAUGUAUAUUCUGAUUGUAAUAAAGCAUGUGCAAGACCGAUCUACGGCUAUUCUACCUUUGUACCAGCCACUUAUUUCUACUGUAUAAUCGUAUGCGUGCUGCAUGCAGUAGCUGUGCAGUCGAUUGCUGCUCACUGUUUGUACACGUACGACGAAUCAUAUUUAAGCAAUAUAUAGUUGCAUAUAUACUUACUAGAGUAAAAUAUACGAGGGAUUCCAGUGUCAUCUAAAUCUCUAAAUCUCUAAAUUUUUAACAUGCAUUUUCAGGUCCAUGAACUUGUCUCAGGAUAACAUCCGGAUCCCUAACUCUCAAAACAUAUUUACAUGCCCCACAACUUAUCUCAAGUUUGAGGAACUGAAAAUACAUUUUGAGAGUUUAAGUUCAGGAACCCCGAGGUAUUUUACUCUCCUUACUACUUUAUUACUCCUUCUGUUCUGAUUUACAUGAUGCUAGUUAGCUCAAAUUUGAGCUAAACAACGUCAAAUAAAAAAGAAUGGAGGGAGCAUAUGAAUGUGGUUUGGCAGAGCAUCAUGUUCAUUAUUCGAUUAUUGUACAGUGACCAGUUUAUAUUACGUGCAUUUGGACUCGGCCGGUGCACAUAGAUCGUAGGAUAUAUGGAUGCCUUCAUGCAUAUUUACAAAUUAAAUAUGCUAGCUGAACUCGAUCUAUCCAAAUCUUUUGAUGCGAGGCUCAGGAUAUAUGCUGCCUCACGAACUGAUCCGGCGGAACACACGUCAUGUCCAUAAACGGAUGAAGCCCCUGCAUUUGGAAUAACAUUUCGGUACUAAUAGCUGGGAGCAUAUAUUCCGUCUCAGCUGCCACUUUGAGAUAUGCAGUGCUCCUGACUUCCUCUAUAUGGCUAAUCCUAUUGCAUUGUACUACCACAGGAGUUGCAUGUUAAAGCUAAACUAGGCCGGCCUAGGCUAGUAGUAGUACAUAUCUUCACAUGAGUUGCAGCACGUUUCGACAAAUGGAGGAAUCGUCGGGACGUAUGCUGCUGGCGGUGAAUGAGUGCCAGUCGAUUAAAGUCGUUGCAUUGCGCCAUUGCCCACACACGGAGGAAUGGAUAUGAUGAUUCCCGGUGAGUGACAAUGGAGGAGAAUACUUUGGAUCGGAGCUGGGCUGAUGACUGAUAAGGCAUGGACAACACACAGUGAGGUGGACUCUGGAAAGCCGCUAAAGCUGGGUUAGGCAAUAGCUCCACGUCGGCGCAUGCAACAGCUCAAGAGAAGAGCACGCACCGGCCCGGCCGACCGGCGACCGGCCAAAAGAGCAUUCGCUUUUCACGGACUGCGGAUGCUAGGGCUCGCUCCUCCCUACAGGUCCUACUACUAGUAGUUGGCUCGAGCAGUCAGCCAUCAGCGGCAAUUCCACAUGUGCGUUUUUGACUCGAAAACCACUAGCACCGUGCACGCUGCUGCUGGUGACUGCCCACCUCCACUAGCCUGCAGCUCUCAGAUACGCUGCCUACUGUCACUCAUGCCCCCAAUGCAACCAGCUCCAUAAAGUGGAAAUGAAAUAUGCAUGCCUCCAUGUAUACCCAAACCAGAUGCGAGCUCAAGUGGGAAAAAAAAAACACGGAUCGCCGUUGGCCCCCAGAAACAUCGUCGAUUUGUGUUGUGCGGAGUGCGCCCCCCGCCCUGCCACUUGAGCACACCUGAGAUCACGCAGCUCCAUGUCGUCGUCGCCGGCCGCAGAGUUGGAUCUACGUGCGCGGUGGCUGUGAAGGAAAACGGGGGUAGAUUAAGGGUGCUUUUGAUUGUGCUUCUGAACCUGCUUUUACUUUUGCAAAAGCUAAAAGUCAAUCAAAAGGUCAAAAAGUUACAUGUACUUUUGUCCAAAAGCUACUUUUGCUCUAGUAAGCAAAUUCCUCCUGCUUUCAAAUCCUUUUGGGGUAAAAAAUUAUCCACCUGCCACUGGUUAUGGAGUACCGUUUCGUUUACUCCUGGAUCUAUUUCUCUCCUGCACGUGAAGGAACCGUUUGCUCCUCCCCCGCCCUCCCCCGCAUAGGCACCAUUCGCCUCCUCCAGCCAUCCCAACCGUCCGCCGCCUGCCGCCCUCGGACGCCCGCCUGCCGCACCUCGCCCCCGGACGCCACACCCCGCCGCCCACUGCCGGACGCCGCCCAUCGCACCCCGCCCGCCGCCGAGCGUAGGCUCCACCGUGGGUGAGAGCUCCACCGCCGCCGCGGGCAUGGGCUCCGCCGUGGGGUGGACUGGCCAGCGGGAGUAAGAAGAAGGGGUUGACGAGCGGGUCCCGCUCGUCAUAGAGAGAGGGAGAGAGUUGAGUGAGGUGGACUGUGGAUGACAUGUAGGGUCCAUUCGACAGUUUAUUCAAAAGCCACAGCUGUUCUAACCAAACGGCCUUCUGAUUUUCCCAUAGCUGCUUUCUCACAACUGUUUUUCCACAACACACAGCUCACAGCAGCUUUUCUAAAAACCACAACGCAACUAAACACACCCUAAGUAUGCGCGCGACCUGCGCCUGCACGUGGGCAACAGCAGCAGAAACACUCCUGUGUGGCUGUGUCAUUGUGUGUGAGCCCAGCGUUUGACCAUAACCCCCGGCGCCGGCGGAGGAAACCGACCGCCGACCCUCCGGACGGUGCCGUGCUGCGUCAUCGCGCACGCAAGCAAUGCGCCCAAGCGCACGGCACCGUGCGGUGCGAGGAGAUCGUGGCGCUUUCUUAUCACCAAAUUCACCAUGAUGGCUGCGGCCUGCGGCGAUCAUUAGUUUAUCGAUGGUCAGCUCCUGAUGAUUAAACUCUCUGUUUUCCGUCUGGCCAACGCAUAGGAAAUUCCGGGACGAUCCGGCCGAAAAAAUUCUUGUUUAUAACUGCGUACCUUUUGUUAAAAUAAAAGAUGACAUGUCGGUUCGUUUCAUCAAAUUUUCAACGGGGAAAAAUUAUUGUAGUUAGGUUCGUUUUCAACGAAGGAAAAGAAGGGCAUCUUUCUUUCUUUUUUAAGCACCGAAGUGCUGGCCAUGUAACACUUCAUCAGACAGCACUCUUUCGUGGGAGAAUUCAAAUUGCCUUUUGCAAGCGUGAGGUUCGAAUUGUUUUAUUAAGAGCACAUUUGGUUGCUAUUCUUAUUUAGCUCCAAAUAAUCAUUUAAGGCCUUUUUUUUGCAACAAAAGAAGAAGCUUAGUUGAUGGACAGUGAUAAUCCAACUCGAUCAAAUCACCGAUACUUAUAUUAGUCUUUGUAUUUCUGCUAGUGGAUCAUUGUUUUUAGAAAACUGGAAUGUUUCAUUGCCAUUCUUUAUUUGGAAGCCACGGCAUUACAGGAAUGAAAAACUAUGGAUACUAGCUACCUGACAAAGAUAAGAACUAAUGAACUAUACUGAAUCUGACAGUCAUACUUUUUCUGAUGUUUUUAGUAUAAUCUGGCGCCAAGUCUCUUUCGUUUGAAAUAGUUAAUGGACGGAAAACUGAGCAUUCAUCCUCAGCCGUUGAUUUUUAACCCGGUACUAAUGUGAGCAUUAGUACCACAUUAGUACCGGAUCUAACAGCUAGUCAACAAGGAGCCUCCCUGACCCCCUUAGUAUCGGCUGGAGGCUUCACCCGGUACUAAAAGUUACCGAUUAGUAUUCCAAUCGAUACUAAUAUUCCUGAAGAACUUUAGUACCAAGUGAAGCCUCCACCCGGUACUAAAAGCUCUCUCCGACUCCUCUUUCUCACUUAUCUCCGCACCUACUCGGUCUUAUCCUUUAUCUCCCUAACCACCACCCAUCUUAUCUCCCUACCGCCUAUUAUCUCUCCUCCCUCCACACAACCUCCUCUCUCCUCCCUCCUCUCCCACUACCGCAGGCGCGCGGGGCCAAUUAAUUCUUUCUAUGAUUCUUGUAAAACGUGUGACAAUGAUUCUUGUGAAAUGUAUUCUUGUGAUUCGUGCUGUGAUUCUUGUGAAUUCUGUGAUUGUGAUUAUUACUAUGAUUAAUGUGAUUAUGAAUUUUUUUGUUAUUCUUGCGAAAUUCGUGUGCGCGUAAGGAAUUUGUGAUUGUGAUUCUUGGAGAAGUAGACGCUUGUGAUUCUUGGAGAAGCAGGUGCUUUUGGAAGCUGGAGCAGUGAUAUAAACAACCGGUACUAAGGGGUGCCUUUAGUACCGGUAAGGUCCCCUUUAGUACCGAAAUAGCAAUACUAGUUGCACAAUCGGUACUAAAGGAGGAUUUGAACCCGGUACUGAAGGCACAUUCCCUAGCAGUGGUGCUGGCAUUGACCUUUGAACUAUACUAUAUGGUUAAUUGGUUCCGGUAGUCAUUUCUUAAGAACUUAAAUAUAUAUUGAUUGCAAUUGCUAUGAUCAUCCAACGGCUGAGCUCCAAGUUUGAGAAGAGGUUCUUUCGAGGGGAAAGUAGUAGUACACAUGUUUGGGGGGGGGGGGGGGGGGGGGGGAGGGAGGCUAUUGGGCUUCGGUUGUGAGAUGUUAACGCGCAAACAAAAAUUAAAGAAAAGCACAAAGACAAUUAGUCCAUUUUCUCUCAACCUUAUUGAUUCAUGCUGUAUACAAUUUGGGAACCCCUCAUGUAUAAUUAUUGUUGGAAGGUGGAGAAGCCUCUAUUACAUUUUGAUUUUGAUCUUGGAAAAUAAUCUCCCUCCCAGUCUUCCUACGUGGGCUGCUUCUUAUUCAUGAGCGGAACCUUCAUGGGCCUAAAGGCCCUUUUAGGCCUAUGGGCCAUAAGAUCGCAACAGCUGUUUCUCUCUCUUUGCGCUCUUGUUGGCUUGUUGCUGUGGUGGUAUACUGGUAUGUUGGCAUUUAGGCAUGUCUGGAGUCUGGAACACCUCACGUUAUACAUUGAUGUGGGUCAAGCAUACUACUAGUAAUCCUAAUACACAUACGGAGUAAUGCCUGAAAUUGUGUAUGCAAUUUGGAAACUGGGCCAAGUCCGGCCCAAAACGUGGUUGACGGUUUUCUCAAAAGCAGUGUGGGACUGCGCACGGUAAAACACCGAGGACAUAGUUCCAUCUGGACAGACAGGACACACGAGAAAGCUCUCGAACCGUUCCCGUCUCACUGCAUUAGAGAAGAGACGAGCAGAAGGCGGCUUAGUGUCCCGGCAUCGAUCCGGCCGAUUCCUCCCCUCCCGGCGUCUUCCAUGACACACAGGAGGGGAGGGAUCCAGCUCGGCUCCGUCCGCUGGUGUAGAUUAUCUACUAGGUUUGUGUUUUUUCUUUGUUUCCUAGCUGUGUUAGGGUUAGGUUUAUCCGGUGGCCAAGGAGCAACGACCACCGGAUUCAUGUCACUCCGGGCGAUUUCCGGCGGUGGCAGCUUUAGUUGCUGCAACUCCGGCGCAUCAUCUCACAGAUCAUCUCCUGUGAGGUAUGUCUUCCACCACUCUUGAGGAAUCGGGCUGGUGUUUGGGUCAUGCUCCCUCGCCGGUGUGCUUCGUGGCGUUGGUUUCGGCACUGAUGCUGCAGCAUAAGGCGUUAGUUCUCUCGUUGUCCGGCGAGGUAACGGUCGGCGACCGUUUUGUGAAGUCUUCCGUUGGGCGCUAGAAAUCGGCUGACGGAAUCUCUAGCGUCGGACACACGACUCGGGAGAAUCUACUAACUCCUGUUCGGGUGAUCGUCAUGGUGCGGUUCACGCGGCGUGCCAGCCAAUCUGACCUGUUGAUUGGCAAGGAAAAAAACGUGUUAGAUCCCAGAGGUCGCGAUCGGCUAAGGUUCCGAUCUUGAGAAAGCUUAUCAGCGAAUCGGCCGAUUUGCUGUAAUAACGAAAUCGGCUAUAAUGCAGCCGAUUGCUAGGCAAUGUCGAUAAAAACUACUAGAGUAAUCUAAACAACGCUACAGUAACAACACUAGGAAUAGAUCUGAAUCGGCUAUGCGGAGGGUAAUAAAUUAAGUAACAAAAUAUGAGAAAGCCGAAAGUUCCAAUUCCAAGCUGGAUAACUGGUGAUAAAACUAGAACAACAGGUAAAACAUAGAAUUCUAGUUAAUAUCGAUAACUAGUGAAUAAAUCCAAACGAAACGACAGCGAUGCGCUCGAAGUUAAAGCUUAGAUAUUACUCGAUAAGUGGAACUUACAGAAUCGGCCGGAGGUCAAGUUGAUGCAGCCCCGCCAACCCGUACGAACUCGUAAAAAGAAGAAAAGUAUUGACGAAGUCGCUGCUCGAAAGUAAGUGCAAGGAAAUAGUAUUUUGUUGUAUUGAUUUGAUUGAUGAUUACAGAUCUAAGAAGGCGGCUAUUUAUAGCCUGUUACAACCAAUCUCUUAACCGACUAGGACUUUAUCUCUAAUUUUAAACGAAAAUAAAUAUUUACAAGUAUGAUUCGUAUCGGAAUUGAUCAUUGCGCUCCCAUGGGCCGAUCUCCCCUUUAUCUUCAUAGUUCAUUUUAAGCCUAUAUUGACCCAAUUGCUCCAGCCUCCCAAUCGGCCGAUUUUCACCAAAUCCAUCCGUCGAAAUACCGCAGCACCAAUCGGCCGAUCCUCAAUUGUAGCACCAAUCAGCCGAUUCCUAAUCAUGACGUCCGUAUUUUGCCGCAUUUCCUGAUUCCUUCCCUCCUUGACGUCGAUUUCAUACGUGUCAAAAUCUGGCGUCAACAGCUUCAUUCAACGAUAUCAAGACUUGUUAAAGCAUUUGAUGGGUUGUCUCUUGUGGCGCAAAAAAAAAUGAUACUUCCUCGUUAUUUGAGGGAACGGCCUCGAGCCCCAUCUUCAGUGUGUUAGUGUUUGGAUACCCCGUGCUAAAUUUUAGCACGUGUCACAUCGGAGGUUCGGAUACUAAUUAGGAGGACUAAACAUAGUUUAAUUACAAAACUAAUUGCACCGAUGGGGUCUAAUUUGUGAGACGAAUCUAUUAAGGCUAAUUAAUCCAUCAUUAGCAAAUGGUUACUGUAGCACCACAUUGUUAAAUCAUGGACUAAUUAGGCUUAAUAGAUUCGUCUCACGAAUUAGACUCCAUCUGUGCAAUUAGUUUUAUAAUUAAACUAUAUUUAAUACUCUUAAUUAGUAUCAAACAUCCGAUGUGACAGGUGCUAAAAUUUAGCUCAGGUAUCCAAACACCCACCCCCUUCGUCCAUGUCCAACUCCGACGAGACGAUGCCAUGUCCGGCUGUUUGAUCAGAGUUCCAGAAGGACCCGAUCAGGCAUUCCGGGCUUCAUUUGUAAUCGGUGGUUUGUAAACUUCAUGUUAUAUCAAUAAAAUGCCAAUCUAAUGUCCUUAAAAAAAAAGUUCCAUCUGGACACACUCCUCAUCAGUCUGACCUAUCUCCUAACAAAAUGUAGGGAGGACCCCAUCUGCUGCUCGAAAUGCACCAUACACGCUUCUCUCCGUACAAACAUUGUGAUUGUGACACUGUGCUAUCUUCAGAAAGACCAGCACUGCUGUUUUGCAGUGGAAAAUUGCUGUUUAAGUUGGAAACGUCUGACCUUGUGCCCGCUAGUACAAGUGAUGGCUGAAGUCGAGCUUGUUAGAUGAAUUGUGACUGUGUUGGACUCGGAUUGAGUCAUGACACCGGACAGGUUUCUGUCUAGAAGCUAUGGCGCAAGGCAAAGUUUCUGUUAAGAGUCCUAACGUGUUGCACUAGAUGGUUUUGGUCCUGAUAGAGAUAGGUUAGAGAUAAAGAUAAACUAGAGAUAGAUCUAGUUUGAAUCAUAUUCUUGUGAAUCAAGUUGUAACUUAUCUCUAUGCAAUCUUGUUAAGCCUUGGUGCAUAUAUAAUACGGAACUGUGGGAUACGAGUUUGCUAACCACGCUUACCAGAUUGCCUUAUACUUUUACAGAGCUACUGUUCUGUAAAGCAAAGCUAAUUCACGGAAAGGGGUAGAAAAUAUAUAAAUGGCGCCCAUCAAGAUCAUGUAAUCUUGUCCAAGAAAGGACCACUCUGCCCUGCAUCGUCCCACAUUUGUCCUCAAGCCGAAAGUAAUCUCAGGAGAGAAGAGGACUUUAUAACUCUUUUGACUUUACUUAUCUAUUAAAACAAAAGAUAAAUAAAACAAGAAAGUGAAAGUAAUAAACAUAAAACAACAAAAUAAAGAGUAGCAGUACAGGAUAUCAACAUCAGGUGGGAACUGCAAAAGCCCGUGGUGUCGGUGUAACUUACGGUCCAUUUCCUUCGCUUUCUUGGUUCAAUUCUUGUCCUCUGAAAGCAAACCGCCGCCAAAGCGACCGGGCCGUGCAAGGAAAGGAGGACCACACUACCACAGCGUCUCGCGCGACCAUUCCCGCCGUUCCCAAUCCGAUUUCCUUCCGUGCCUCACCGAAUCGAUUGCAGCCGGGCGCGUGCGUGCCGCGACCUCGUGAGCGAGACCGGCCCUUGCUGUUUCCGCGUCGCGUCACGUCUCGCGGAUUUCGACGUCGUUCUCUGGCGCACGCGACCGCCGACGCCUGGAGGCUGGAUCCGCAGAGCCUUGAGCAGUUUGAGCUACAAUGUAGCUGAACAAAAAUGUUUGUCUGCUGAUGAUGCAAUUACUGUUCCUCUUUCUGUUUCAUCAUCGAACUUAUAAGAGUUGAAAUUUGAAAAUGUUUACGAGUUGUUCUCUGUCAGUCGAAAGUUGAGCCGUUGAGGCGAUUCUGCGAGCUGCCGUUUGAGUCCGUCUUUCUCCAACACAAUGCAGCCAUGUAAGGAUAUUGGAACCUAGCUAUAGGAUCUACUAUUGCGUGGUCCAAAAAGAUGCAUCCAGGACCUGAUUGAAUUGGUUCGCAUUUUUCGGAACUCGAGGAUAGAUUCGCUUUUGUCUGCAAAAGGUACUUGGAUCACAAAAAAGCUUCAGGCACUAAAAUUAAGCAAAGUGCCUGAUCACAGUGCUAACAUCCAGUAUUCGCGUAUACUAGAACUUUAGAGCAAAGUUAUCACGUCCUCUUUUCCUCGCUUUUCGCAUUCACUACUGCCGGUACUUAUUCGAGCCUGAAAAUGCGAGCAAUUAGCCCUGGAGUCGCCUAGACUAACGAAUUAGAAUUAAAUGCACUCCUUCAGUCCUCAUCAGCCAUCACCAACCACAGGGGGCAGAUCAUUACCCUUCCGGUGCAUGAUUUUCUCCAUGGUUGAUAUCAUUAUUAUGAUGGGAGUUUCUUUUAAAAAAUUCCCCUAAGCAUGUGAGGUGAGCAGAAGUGAGGUACCUACUCCCUAAUUGUUUCCAUCAAAAUGAAAGGGACCUCUUUCCACAACUACCGCGCCAAUGAAUUAUCGCUUUCUGGUGUCCUGUCUGAGGAUGGUGCGCCUAACACACCCUCCAGAUGGUUAACUGAUGAUCACCCGUGGAUCUUUGUUGAGUGGCAUGUUUUGUAGUCUUAUCAGUGUCCAUUAUCGAUGCGCCUUCAUUGUCUGCAGCUCUUCCUUUUACCUUUUUCCUCUGUCUUCAGUAGCGAAACCAAGUGUAAAUCGGCAGAUCUUAGGUCGUAUUGUAUUGAUCUCUGCUUCUAAUAACUAGCUCGGUUCAACUUCUGUCGAUCACCAGAAGUUAAAAUUGUUGUGGAUAGGGACCAAGGUGGACUUCUUGAACUGAGAAAUCAUACUGGCAGCAUGCCAACUUUACACCUUACACUUGCACAGCCAAUCAUUGCUUCACUUCCCAGCAACAGCAAUGGGAAUGUAUGGUACGUGUCCGGGCGUCAUUAGGUGGACUUGUCAGCAUCAGUGACGAAGGUGCUUUCUCGAAAAGUUUCCCAUAGCAAUUCCCGGCAAGCGGCGAGGGGCCUCGUUUUCACAUGGCACUAAUGCGUACUUUCUUGCCUGAAGUUGCUGUUGUGUAGUUGUACACAGCUACACACAAGUCCAACCACAGCCCAUCCCAUCGAAUGUUUAGUACUUACUCUUAUGGAUCGCGCAGCUGCUAAUGACGGCACCAGGUGAUCGGAUUUGCACUGAAAGAAAAGCAGGGGAAUAAAAAUGCGGACUCAGUAGUGCUCCCUCCAACACCGUACUUGAAAUACAAUGAAGAUAUACAGCACGCAUCACGUGGUAAAAAGCAGCAGGUGGUGUUUCUCCGCUCAAAGUUUGCUUUACGUUUCAGAAGUAAGUUUACUGGGGGAGGUACAGAGUGCUGCUACUAUCGUCACAAUGACUGCAGCUUGAUAAAAGCAUCAGCACUCAACAGAAAGUUCCUCGGAGAUUUGGUUUGCGGGCAAGUCAAAGAUGGAGUGGAGAGUGGCCAUAGUGGUUCCCCUAAUCAAAGACCGUCUGGAAGUAGCACAAGCAUGGCGACACUCACAGACUCACUGCUACUGCUACGGAACACUACUAGGUUAAAAACAAAACUAAUAGAGUGUCUAGUUUCACGGACCAAAGUUUAAUCUGUGUCACAUCGAAUAUUUAGAUAUUAAUUAGAAGGAAUAAACACGAGUUAAUUAUAAAAUUAAUUGCACAGAUAGAGGCUAAUUCGCGAGAAAAAUCUAUUAAGCCUAAUUAGUUCAUGAUUUGAUAAUUUAAUGCUACAUUAAAUAUGUGCUAAUCAUGAAUUAAUUAGGUUUAAUAGAUUCGUCUAGCCUCCAUAUGUGCAAUUGAUUUUGUAAUUAGUCUAUAUUUAAUAUUCCUAAUUAGUACCUAAACAUUUGAUAUGACAACUUUAAUACGUGAAACAAACACAACUAACUUUCCAUAUGUACUGCCAAGGUUUCUGUGCUCGCAUUUAGUACGGAGCAGUACUCCACCGCUACUAGUCCACUCCACUCGCGGCCUCGCACCAAAGCAAGCAAAUCGUAGCCAGUCCAAAGCAUGAUGGCCAAUCAUCGCCUGGCACCAAAACGGAGAACAGACAAUGCGCUGAAGACCAUGGGUGCCGCAACAUCCCCACGGGCCGCGGCCACCUCGGCGCGUCUCUGGAAUCUGGAUGGAUCCGGGGCGAUUGGCGUGGCGGCCGCCCCCGACCGGCCGAGCCCGCGCGCCGCGGAGCAUUGGUCUCGCCUCGGUCCGGUCCCCUACCAACGCCCGGCAGGCAGGUCACGGGAAAGUGGCGUACUACGUGACCCGGCCACCCGGGCGACGGGGACGGGCGGCCACGGACGUGCGGCGGGUGCGGUGCCGAGCCCGCGCGCUCUCACUCCAGGCCGGGGAGCGGUGAGCCGGUGAGUGCCGGUGCGGUGAGGCCGCCGGUGAAUAAUUUCGCGGGCGGGCACAGUGAAAAGGCCUGAAAAGUUGGGGCAUCUGCGGGGUAAGGGAGCCGCCGUCCCCCGAGCGGUGGGUUUGGGCGCGGGGAGCGGUUAUGGACUCGGCUCGCUUUUCCCUCGUGGCAUUCUGCACCCGACCACCCACCACCGGGGCACCGCGCGAUCGGCGCCGGCGCGGGCAGCGGAAACCGGAAAAGGUGCGCGAGGGAGGGGCUGGGGCCUGGUGGGCGCCUGGACGGACCCGCCGUGUGGUGUCCGGGCGGCACCUCUACGUCGUCAGUUGGCUUUUUCUGCAGGCCCACUGGAACAGGGCCCCUCGUCGCGAGGCAGGGCUCCACGCGGACUCGUCUCGCCUUUUCCCUCGUUGAAAAGUUGAAAAGCAAAAGGAAGGUUAAUUACCCCACCGCGUUCAUAUCGAUGGAUUUGGAAAUUUGUGAUGGCCAUUUGGCAACGCGCCAAAAGAGAAGCACGGCCGCGCAGGGAAAGAUGAAGAUGAAAUUACAGUUUGCUCCUGCAUACUCCUCCCUUCAGAUCGUUUUAGGUUUUUUAAAAUUAUAGAUAUUAUUAUGCAUCUAGAUAUAGAGUAAUAACAAAAAUCUAUAAAUUUAAAAAAGCUAAAAUGAUCUAUAAUUUGAAAUGGAGGAAGUAAUUGUUGAAUUCUAACAAUGACUUCGCAAGGGGUGAGAUCAUACGCAGAUAGAUGUCCGCCGCAUGAUUCGUUGCCAUAUUUGCGGCCAUCUGCAACAAAAUACGAUUUGAAAACACACAUGUCCGACGCGCUGCAGACUCAGUUUGUUCUAACCAAAUAUACCGUAAUUUCCAUAAAAUGAUGACAAAAUUGACCAUCAAGCAGCACAGGUGUUCCGGGGUGACAGAAUCUGAUGGGCUAAACUAUACUGUACUGUCUGUCUAGUGUGUGUCUAGUCUACACAUGGCCAACCGCCGGAUGGAGGGGCUGAGCUGAGCCGCAAUUGCGGCAACCUUUUUAUGCGGACGCGCAGCUGGUGCGAUCCCGUGCGCCUCGCUCGCUACAAACAUCUCUCUCUCUCUUUCCUCUGACUUCUUUGCUCCCCCUCGUCCGUCUCGCCCGGUCCUCUCACUCGAAGACUCCUCUCGCCUCGCUUCGCUUCCAAGCCCCUCCCAAUGGCGACGCAACCGCUUACCUCACCACGGCGCCGGCCGCGCUUGAGUUGAGCGAGGCACCCCACCCCACCAACCGCGCGCGCUCUCCAGGCGCAUGGCGGCGCCGGGGCUGGACCAGGUCAUGGCGUUCCUCACCGACCACGGCUUCGCGGGCGCCGCGUCCGCGCUCCGCGACGACGUCCUCGCGCGCACCGCCGCCGGGGACGACGCCCCCGACGCGGCAUUAGAUCCCCGGCUCCCGCCACUCCGGAUGCCCGGCUCCGCCUCCGCCUCCGGCGGCGGCGCUGGCACGCCGGCGCCCGCGAGCCCCGGCUCCAGCUCCGGCUCGGCGUCCUCAUCCGCGUUCGUCAGCAUGCGCUCCACGCCCUCAGGUACCCCAAGGCACGAGGCACUUUUGUCGCUAGCCUUAAACCCUUCCCUCCUUGAUUUCCGUGGGUGUCUCGCGCAAUCUCGAUCUGUGCGCCGGUAUUUCCGGGGCUGUGGUUGGCUUUGGGCCCAAUUCGGAGGUGAUGGGAGGAUCAACGCAAGUGUGUUUCCGCUCACAUGAAUUUUGUAACACAAUUGAAUCUUCGAUUUCCUAGGAGAGUUGUUAAACCUCUCCGCCACUUCAAUUCCCGUCUCGCCGGUUGGUUGGUUUAGUGAUGCUCUGAAUUUCGGUACAUUUUACCCAGUUUUAAACGGGAAUUUCUUUUAUUGUGGCUAUUAGGGCUGCUGAAUCCAUAUGGGCUAUGGUCGCCGCGGAACUCGCAAUCUGACGCGUCGUCAUCAGAGAUGGAGUUUGGUACUGCGCGCCAGUACGACACCACCGACCUCUUCUUCCAGGAGGGUUGGCUCUACGACGACCACCUCUUCCCUAGCAUGCUGGAUGAUGAGGAUGACGAAGGCAAAGAGGAGGACAAGUUUGUACUCGGUGCUCACGAAGGCUCAGAGCGGGUAGAAAUAGGCAAGCUUGGUGCAGGCCACAAUCACCGUCACGAACACAUCGGUGGUGACCGCUGUGAGGGGUGCGCCGAGGUGUACACAUGCUCAUCGCCACUCUGUGGUUGCUGUGGAGGGGGGCUCAAGAUUGACGGACUGGAGGUGGCCAGGAGCUCAAGCUCCACUGUGUAUGGGAGAUACCAGAUCAUGGAUGACCAGACAGAGAUACUGGAUGAUUGUGCCCAGGGUGGGUUUCAGUUGAAGCAGAGUAGAGAUGUUGUGUUUGAGUGCGAUAUGCUAAGGGACCCUGGACGAGGAGAUGAUGAUUCAGAGCUGAGUGUUGUGGAGAAGGAGCUUCAAAUGCUCAGUUCAUUCGAUACUGAUGCUGUUGCAAGUAAGUACUUCCCAAGCCUUCAACUAGAGUUCAUAUUUUCAACUAGUAGGAUCCCAUUUGUUAGGGGUUUCCGGCUGAACUUUGUUGCCAGUACAGUUUAUAGUUCGUCCAUUUUAACCCACUUUGACCAAAGAUAAUGUCAAUUUUUUUAAAAUUUAAUGUAGGUAGAAAAGGGAAAUAAAUAACAACAAUGAAGAGUUUAGAUAUUGCGAAGUUGUCUUGUGAAAGCCAAAUCUCUGCUGCAAUUUGGUUAAUGUGCUGUUUAAUAAAUGGACAAAAAAUGUUAUACUAGACAUUAUCAGUCCUUUAUGUAAUAUUUGCGGUUCCCCAGUAUUAGUACUAUUUUAUGAUUAUAUGCUUCUCAUGGAUUAUAUCUGGAAAUUUGAGAGAGACAGAGUUUUUCUAUGCUGGUAAAUGAUGUUCUUAAUUUUGGAAUCUAACUUUGGUUGAACAACAGCUAUAUACGAUCAUGGCCUUAAAAACACACAUUUCAAAUAGGGUGGUCUUGUUUUUCAUGUAUUGUAAAUCUGUAAUGUAGCUAUGUUCAACCUGCUAUUUGAUCAAUCAAGUUAAAAUGAUGUUUCUCCGUCACUAUAUCUGUGUGUAAUUUGGCGCCAGUUGUCCAUUUGUCCUGGAUAAAAAGUUUUCUUUUGCUUAUGUGCUGGAAUUCUCUUGAUGUAUUUCAUAGAUCACGGUGUACAUGAUUUCACGGACAAUGUUGAACUCGACGAUAGCAGUAACAAAAAUCUGAAAAGCAGCAGUGAUAAAGAAUAUCUGAAAGAAGGUCACAGGAUGCAACCUUUCCCUGAAAGUGGUGAUCCUGAUGAUGCAUACGAGUUUCAAAAUGUUGGGUCGUUAAAUGCAGAUGUUCAACAUUCUACUGCUCUUAAAGCUGAGGAAGAUCCAGAGACAAAUAUUGAUCUUGCUCUCUCUAAUUUUCAUCGAGAAUACGAGGUAUUUGAAUUGAGAAUUAUCCACCGCAAGAACAGGUUCAAAGUCUCUUUUUUCUUUGAUUUUCCUUUGUUAAAUUGUAUGUUGUUUAAUCCAUUUUUGUACUGAUAUAAUAGGCAUCCACUGCAGGACUGGCUUUGAAGAAAACAAAGAUUUUCCCAUUGUCUUGAGUUCAGUUAUUGCUGGAAGAUAUUAUGUCACUGAAUAUCUAGGUUCAGCUGCAUUCAGCAAGGUCGUGCAAGCACAUGAUCUUCAGACAGGAAUGGAUGUUUGCCUUAAAAUAAUAAAAAAUGAUAAGGAUUUCUUUGACCAGAGCUUGGAUGAGAUAAAACUCCUGAAGUUCGUGAACAAAUACGAUCCGCUAGACGAGCACCAUUUGCUGCGCCUCUAUGACUACUUCUACCAUCAGGUACAUACCUCUUAAGAGAGACAAUUGGCUAAGUUACUUCCUUUGACUUAACAUGUUUGGAUCCUAAGAAGGCAUCUCAAGGGAUAUACUCCAGGUGACUAGGUCUCGAGUAAUAUCUUAAAAAGGAUCUGUUCUAACAAUAUACCAUUUUACUUUGACUAGUAUACUUGAUUUCUCGCAUGUUUGGCAGCAGAUUUUAGUGGAAAUUUUCAAUUUGUAUGAUCUUGCGUGGUGCUGACAGCAAACAAAUAUUGACAGGAACACCUUUUUAUUGUCACUGAACUACUGAGAGCAAAUCUGUAUGAGUUUCAGAAAUAUAAUCAGGAAUCUGGCGGUGAGGUGUAUUUUACUUUGCCUAGGAUACAGGUAUGUUAUCCGUCUUUCACUGAGAUGUUCUCUACUUCUCCAUGAAUGUUACUUAUACUGAGAAUAUGAGAUCAUGCCUUUACAUAAUAUAAGCAUUUGCAUUCCACUCUGCAGUUAGCUCCUUAGCCAAAAUCAUUUAACAUGUCACACGUUUAAACACACAAUUAUUCAGCAAUUGGACUGUUCACUGAGCAAACAUGUUUGAUACCCUGAAAGCUGAAACGGUAGCUUUUACAAAUAUGACUAACACUUUUGAGUAACAAGCGCAAGUUUCAUUCAGAAAGCUACGAAGUUCUAGCAAUUUAAAAGUUUCCCUUUCUUGUAGGCUAUAGCUCGGCAAUGCUUAGAGGCGCUGGUUUACUUGCACCAUUUGAGGAUCAUUCAUUGUGACCUAAAGCCAGAGAAUAUUCUUAUCAAGAGCUACAGUAGAUGUGAAAUUAAAGUCAUUGAUCUGGGAAGUAGUUGCUUCUUGACAGACAACUUAUGCCUCUAUGUCCAAUCACGCUCAUAUCGAGCUCCUGAGGUCAUUCUGGGCCUACCAUAUGAUCAGAGGAUUGAUAUUUGGUCUCUUGGUUGCAUCCUUGCUGAACUAUACACUGGUGAAGUAAGUAUGCUUUGUUCACUUGAUACACACUAGUCUUAGUAGUAUCUUGGCAAUUUUAAUACCUCCUUUCUUAUCUGAAUGCAAUACCAACAUAUAAUUCCAACCAGAAUUAUAUCUUUUGUUAAUGUUGUAAGCAUAUCUUGUGAGCUGGAGAGUUGUGUACUUGGGUCAUUUGGGUGUUCGGGGUGCUUUAUUGACAUGGAAAUGCUAGAAUUGGGACAGGAGACACAAAAGUACUUCACUGAUGAUUAUGAUCUUUUUACCAAGAAUGAGGUAAAAUUCUUUUUUCAUCCUUGCUUGCCUGCUCAAAAUAAAAGGCAAAAUGAGUAUUCUGUAACCAAAAUCAAAGGCAAAAUUUCACGAGUUGGCUCUUAUUGUUUCCUUCGCCUUCGUAGUUUUAGUUGCAUUGUUACCCAUCCUAAGAAAAUAUUGAAUUUGCUACACAAUUAUAUUUAUGUGGCUUCUUACUUGUUUGGUAUACUCAACUACUCGGAGACAUAAAUAUAUGGCCUUUUGUCAGUUUACCUGUACCAGCCCAGAAGAACUACGUUGAUAUCUAUCACUGGUGGUUGUACAACAGUAAACGCUAACACUUCCCUUCAUUGCUUUAUUUAUAUCCAGGAGACAGAUCAGCUAGAGUAUUUGAUCCCGGAGAAAUCCUCCUUGCGACGACACUUGCAGUGUCCUGAUUCAGAAUUUCUUGAUUUUCUAUCCUAUCUGUUGCAAAUAAACCCCAGGAAAAGACCAACGGCCGAUGAAGCACUACAGCAUCCAUGGCUUUCUUUUGCUUACUGAUAAUAAGCCAUCCGGUGCUUUCCUUUACUUCUUGGACAACUUUCUUCACACAUAAGGAUGAGUUUGUGCCUCUCUAAUUUGGAGCCCUGUAAAGUUCCUGAAAAAUACCCAAAAAUAACGAUUUUCUUGGAGUUUCUCUUAACAUGAAACAUUACUAUUUUCCUUAGCUGUAGAAGAGUCGUCCUUUGUGGUUGCAGGAUUCUAGUUUUUUUUCUUCUUCAGGAGUUCAGGGUAAUUCUUAGUGUGGAACCCCUGCUCUGUCAGUGAUUCCUGAGUGCAUGUAAAUAUCAGAAAUUUUCCACGGUGUAUCUGUACAGUUGAAAGUCCACUCUUGUACUCCAUCUGAUUCGUUAAUGAUAACAUGAGGAAAUAUUGUCAAGGUUUCGUCAUUCUUGGGUCUUGUCUCUAUCGUUGAUGUGUCCAUGGUUCCUUUGCACUUGUACUAUAUUUGUUCAGCACACGUGAAUUGUUUGCGAGGGAAAACUGAUGUGUCGACUGUCGAUACGAUGCGAGGAAAACAGAUCGGUUUGCGAGGAAAAUAGUUUAGUGAAGAGACAGGAUGGGACCAAUGACGUUGGCAGAUCGUGGUAUCUUCUGAUCUCUGUGGUCCAAAUUUUGACACAGCGUAACACGUUAAUUUGUGGUUGCUGUGAAUUCCUCGGCGUCCUGAGCUACCGUUUGAGUUUCUUGUCAGCUUCUCAACAUGAAAAACUAAAAAAUCAAAUAAAUAGUAAAUAUUCUGUGCAGCUUUUUGAAAAGUCAGAAGCUCGAAAAAAUUAAGUUCAUAUGAAAAGUUAAAAAGCUCAAUUCUGAAAUUUUCGUAAUUUUUUGACACCAAAAGCUAAACACAUCUCCUAAAAGUUAUCCUAAAAGUUAGUACAACUUUUCAGGGAAAAAAAAAAAGCUAACAUCAGCUUUUAAAAAGCCCUGCAACAUCCAGUUCGCGCAGCUUCCGCCGCUCGAUGCAAGCCCAAGCCCAAUGGACAGUGCCCACGGGCCACGGCUCGCAUGCCGCUGCUUUUGCUCGCUCCUUUCCUGCCGUCCCCACCAACGGCAAAAAUCUCCUAUCCGUUUCUCCCCUGCCGCGCCACCGCCACUCCCGCUCCCACGAGGCCGAGCACGCCCACGAGCCAUGCCACCCACCGCCGCGUCCGCGGCCACGGCCGCGGCCGCCGCGCUGCCCUCUCCUUCGCAGCGCCGCGUCCCGGCAGCAAAAUCCGUCUGGCUGAACCCCAACCUCCCCACCUCCCACCCCCUCCACCACCGCCACAAGUCCGCCGCCGAGCUCCAACAGCGCCAGCACGAGGACCGCACCAUCGACGUCUCCGCACUCGUGUCCGCGCUCUCCGUUUCGCGGACGUUGGCCGACCUCGCCGCCGCGCUCGCCCCGCACCGCCCCGUCUCCGCGCGCCUCCUCGGCGCGCUCCUCUCCCGCCUCUCCGACCCGCGCCGCGGCGUCGCGCUGCUCGACCUCCUCGCGCCGGACCUCCCGGCGCCCGCGCUCCUCAUCCCCUACAACCUCCUCCUCCGCUCCGCCUGCCGCGCUGGGGACCUCCGCCUCGCCUCGGGCCUCCUCCUCGAGAUGCGGGACAGGGGCGUGGCCCCCGACGCGUUCUCAUACUCCACGCUCCUCGCCGCGCUCACCCGCGCGGGCCACCUCGACCACGCGCUCACUUUCCUGCCGCUCAUGGAGGACGACGCCGUGGCCCCGGACCUCAUCCUCUUCUCCAACCUCAUCCACCUCGCCCUCCGCGGCGGCGACGCGCCCAAGGCGCUCGCGCUCUUCUCCCGCCUGCGCGGCGCGGGGAUCAGGCCCGACCUCAAGGCCUACAACGCCGCCGUCGCCGCCUACUGCAAGUCCGACCUGCUCCGCGACGCCAAGCGGCUGCUGCUCCAUGACAUGCCCGCCGACGGCGUCGCGCCCGACGCGGAGUCGUACUCCCCCAUCCUCGCCGCGCUGGCGCGCCGCGGGCGGCACCUCGCGGCCGUGUCGCUCUUCUCGCACAUGCGCGCCGUCGCGCGCGUCAAGCCGGACCUCUCGGUGUUCAACAUCGUGCUCAACGCGUACGGGCAGCUCGACCUCGCGCGCGAGGCGGACCGGCUGUUCUGGAACAUGCGCCGGGCCGGCGUGGCGCCGAGCGUGGUGACCUACAACACCAUGCUCCGCGUCUACGGCGACGCCGGGCUGUUCGGCGAGGCGGUUCACCUGUUCGACCUCAUGCGCAGCGCUUCCGAUGGCACUGGUGGCGCUGGGAGCAGCGUCAAACCCAACGUGGUAACAUACAACACCAUGAUCGCCAUCUACGGCAAGUCGCUGGAGGACGAGAAAGCCGGGAGCUUGGUGCAGGACAUGCAGGCCAACGGCGUCCAGCCCAAUGCCAUCACUUACUCCACCAUCCUCUCCAUAUGGGUGAAAGCCGGGAAGCUCGACCGUGCUGCCAAGCUGUUUGAGAAGCUGCGGGAAGCCGGCACGGAGAUCGACCCAGUGCUGUACCAGACAAUGGUGGUGGCGUAUGAGCGUGCCGGGCUUGUUUCCCAGGCCAAGCGUUUGCUGCACGACCUGAAAGAACCGGAGGGCAUCCCCAAGGAGACAGCCAUCAGAAUCCUGGCGAGCGCCGGUCGUGUGGAAGAGGCCGCAUGGCUGUUCCGUCGUGCAGCCAACGCUGGCGAGAUCAAGGACUCGUCGGUGCACAGAGCCAUGAUGGACUUGUUCGCGAAGAACCGGAGGCACCGGAAUGUGGUUGAGGUGUUUGAUGAAAUGAGGAAGUUGGGCCAGUUGCCGGACUCGGAGAUGAUCGCCACCACGAUGAAUGCUUGUGGAAAGCUGAAGGAAUUCGACAAGGCCGCAGCGCUAUACCAGGCAAUGAGGGAGGAAGGCUGCGUGUUCUCAGACCGGGUGCACUUCCAGAUGAUCAGCCUGCUUGGAGCUCAGAAGGACUUCAAGGCGCUGGAGACGCUGGUCGGCGAGCUUAGCCAUGACCCAAGCAUCGACAAGAGGGAGCUUUAUCUUGUGGCUGCCGGCAUCUAUGAGAGAGCAGACAAGUUUGAUAAGGCAUCCCAGAUAAUCAGCCAGAUAAGAAGCUCCAACGGUUUUGAUGUCAGGAAAUUCAGAUAAAAUGCUCCAUGUCCCAGUAAUUCUUACGUCCAGAGAAUCUGACGACAAUGUUUCAGAUAAAAUAAUAAAGAGCACUGACAAAAAAAACAUGGUUGUAAUUGGUGUGCAUAUCCUUUUCCUAGUGUUUGUUUUCUUUGUUUCUUUUUUCCUUUCCUGAAUGAAUCAUACAAGUAUCAAAACAUGCUAUCAGCACUAAUUAUUGAGCUUAGACUAAUAUUUAUGGUUACAUAUCAAAUUGUUAGAUCCAUAAAUACAUUAGUGUUGACGGAAUGGUGAUAAAAUGCCCAGGUCAUUUGUUCUCAUGGUGUAAACUUGGAUGUCGUUGACCCACGAACUGUUCAUUAGACUAUCUGAACUGUCAACAGUCAAAUUUUACAACAAGAGCUGAUAUACAACAAUUAAUUGAUAUAAAAAUGCUCCACUACACAUACAAAUCUGACGUUAUGCUAGAUUACAAUUUUCUUAUCUUCGGAUGUGGCAACUCCAUAUGAACAGUGACUCGAUUUUAUCAGGAACCCUAAAUGAAUAUAGAUAAUGUACAAGCGCUCCCCCUCUGAGGGAAUUAUAGCGUGGUAGGCACUUGAGCCUUCACCAAAACAAUUCCACAGGACGGCAGCAGAACUUACACUGCCUGAUUAGUUUGGGGGAUCCCAUGCUUUUGGAACCAUUCUGGCAUAUGAAACCUUUCAUGCAACACGGGCCUGACAUCUUUCUGGAGGGAAAGAUGCUUCAGAAGUGGAAAUAUAACCGUCAUGAGCUGAAAUGUUUAAACAAGAAAAUCAGUAUAAUCUUAUGUUAGCAUUGAUCUUGUUACUAGAGAGUUGUAUCCAGGCUCAGCUAGUGUCUAGGUUCACGUUCAUUGCUAGGGGAUCUGUUUGGUUCAAGCCCUGGCAGGCAGCUCGGUCCCCAGGCGGCACUGCCAGCUGCAGGCGUCUGAAAUCAGACGCCUGGGAUCGCUGCCUGCACCAGGCAGCACCGCUCAGGAGCGAAUCAAACAAGCCCUUGUGCUAGCUAGAUUUCAGGAUGUAUUUGAGAAUAAUGAGCAGAUCAUAGGAGGUAUUGACUGCAUUAGUUAGGAGGAUACCAUGGGCAAGUGUAUAGCCAUGUACCAGUUAUAUAUAAAAGAAAAAACGAUGAAGGCGACCAAAACUAUUUGUGUUGUUUCGUGCUUGUAACAUUUUAGAGAGAGGGAGUGAAUUCCAACAUAGAGAGUAGAAGUUCAGAUACAGUGGAUGAUUGGUGCUCAUCAUCAGUUACCUGAUCAUCAGAAUGUUGUCCAGCUGAAAAUGGAACACAAGGUAUGCCAUUCAAAGGCUGAAGAAUGAAACUGAAUGGAUUGUUGUCGACAAUGACGAUUCUGCAGAAAUCUUUUGACACGCAAGAAAGAUCUUUCACAUGUUCUCUGAAUUCCCUGUAAUCGUGCACAAUCCAUUGAUAUUAGACAAGGAUCAUUCAGGUUAUUGCCAAAUAAGUACAGUAUGGUUCAAGCAGGCAGGCAGGAAGAGAAAAGAAUAUCAAGAAACAAGCAUAUUAUGAUUGAGUAGCAUGGUGAAUGAACACAAAAAUGCAUGCUAAAGGAAGCAUCCAUGGUUCGUCACUAAAGAAAUCCCACGAAGCAACUUAGCAGAAACGAGGAAAAACACAGGCAACAAGAGACCGAACAAGACAGCCUGAGCACAUAUUGCAUAUGUGGUAAAUUUAUUGAGUUCAGAUAUUCUGAGAAAUACUUGGUAAAGAAGAUGAGAAAAUGAGAUGAAGCUAAAAUUCUAAACACCACUUGCAUUCCGUGUGCCUAAUAUGAACAUCAUCAUUGAUUGCUACAUACAAGCUUUGGCUAUGAUCUGUUUUUUUUUUCACUUAGAAAGGUGCUGGAGUGCUAACUAACUUUAUAGAGAAGGUAAUGUAACUUACGUGGUAACAGUUGAUGGGCGGUAGAGACGGAGUCUGAAUCUAUUGUGGACAUCUAUUCGGUCAACUAAAGGUCUAGCAUAACCUGAGGGAACAUGGAUAGGUUAAGCGUGGGAAGUGAGCCAAAAUUGGUGAAGAAGAAAAAUAAGAGCAGCCAACAUACCUUCUAAACCUGCUGUAAAAAGGAUAAGAUCUGCAAAUUCACUAGUUUUCUGCAAGAACUCAUGCAAACCAGGACGCUCAAAAACAGUCACAUGAUUCACCUUCUGUUUUCCAUCAACAUCCUUUAAAGUUUACACAAGCAGAGCUCAUUUAUCUGUUGUGCUUCAAAUGAUUAAGCAAAGUGAGGUAGCAAAAGUAGAAGUCCGGUACCUUAUCAGACGAUAUGCAUUCCAUGUCAAAGCAAUGUAAUCCUGCUUCAACAGCUUGGGUGCGUACAAUAACAGGAAGACUAGAUGAUUCAUAUGCAGAAACUAAAGUCUCAUCCAAGUCAAGCACUACCUGAAAAGAUAACCCUGAUGUUGUCAGAAAUAUUCGAUGCAGAUACACGAGAGAAAAUUAUUCGAGCAGACUUCAUUUCAAGGCAAUCAGGAAGUACUGCUUAGUAUUAAUAUAACUAUCAUGGCAGUUUUGGCUCCAUUUACGUGACGCUAUAACAGUAUAACUUUAAUCAUUUACAUCAGUAAGAGAUUAAAGUUCUUUGCCGAUCUGAACUAUCAUAAACCCUGUUAUGAGAAUAGCUUACAGUAUAACAGACCAUGUACUGAUCAUCUAUAAUCAGUUGGUAUGAUAGUAUCUUGUAAUCCAGGUCCUAUGGAGAUGUCUAAUAAUGAUGGCAAGUUCAAGUAUCUACUCACCUACACACAAUAACAGAGAACCAGUAUUCUGAAACUAUUUCACAAAGCGUCACUAGAAGAUCACGAGAAACAUAUUGCCCCCUGUUCAGAGAGGAUAUAAUGCAACCGUACUACUAUAAAAGCAAGCAUUUGUUUGGCAAUAGCAGCAACUAAUUGCCAUGCUAGGGAGUCAAUUAUGGCAACUUCUAGCACAUAAUCCUCAAACAAGGCCUGCUACACAGUUAAAAUGCUAAUUAUUCUACAGAAACACAUCAAUUAAACUACCUGAAUUAAGCCGCCAAACCUCUGGAUUAACCUCAAAUCAGACACUCCACCAAAUCCCAAUCACCCCCCAAAUACCAAAGCAUCCUCCAGUUAGAUCAACAGGCACUUCCCACCGUCCCAAGUCCAGUGUACUACCCAAUUGAAACCCAUAUACUUCCGAAAGGCGCCAUUUUCCCCCACCCCAGACACCAAAAACUCCAGCGAAUCCAAUAAAAAACCGAAUCUUCGUACCGUGAGGCGGCCCAGGGGCUCAGGUGGAGCCGCGGGUGCAGGGGCCACGUCAGCUGGGAUCUCGGAGCGGAGCGGCAUGAAGGCUACCUCCGGCGACGGCUCGGAGGCCGCGGGCCCGGAGAGGAGGGGGUAGCGGAAGCCGACGAAGGACAGGAGCUGGGCGCAGGAGGGGGUGCCCCGGAGGAUCUGGAGCAGGACCUGGAGGAGGAAGCCGAUCCACCCCACCACCGUCCGCCACGCCUGCGACGCCACUUUCCCCCGCUGCUGCUGCUGCGCCGCCGCCGCCGCGGUCGGCGAGUACACCUCCGCCGCCGCCAUGGCCUCCGGCGACGAGCUGUCGCACCACGUGGGGACGGACCGUCAGGGAGCCUCCAGCCGGGAGGAGGGAGGGAGGGGGAAGGCAAGGCCGGAGGCAACCGGAGGAGGAGGAGGCGGUGGUGGUGGUCGGUCUCCGCGCCCUCGUCCGUGUACGUGGUGUUUUUGUGUGCGGGUGAGCUUAGCGGAAUAGGGUAUUGGUGAUUGGUGGUAGAUUCAGCGGUCCCCACCUGUCAGUGAUGGUACAGCUGGACUGCCGAGCUGCCGCGAGUGGUAAUUAUCGUACGCGCACGCGCAGUUUUCAAAUUUUUUUUGGCUGCGCAUUUCGCUGUUACUAGUUCUGGCUUUGAUCUCUCUACCUCUACCCCUCUAUUGUUCUUGUUCGCUUUGCUGCGAUGGAAAUAUCCAUGGUGGUGUACAGUGAUGUUGACCUAUUGUUAAUACAGCUGGAAAUCUGGAGAAUUCAAUCCAACUUGUUUGAUUUCAAUAACAUGUUUUUGUCUGGUACUCCAUUAAACUUCAAACAAUCAAGAUUGACAUUGUCUUUCCUGGACUAAUGGCAUACGGUAGAAAACAAUUUAGUCAAUCCUGUGCUUGACCAUGCUAACAAUACAUAGUAUUUUAGUGUUUUUAUUCAUAAUUUUUCUAUGCAUCUAGUAUACUAAAUAGAUAUAUUGCAAAAAUAAUAUAUUUUAAAAAAAUAAAAUGAUUUAUAAUUUGAAACAGAGAAAGUACUUAGCUAGGAAAUGAAUAUGUAACAAUAAAGUUGGAGAAAUGAUUAUUGCAAUCAAGUACUGGUACAAAAUUUAGCUGGCACAACACAAAUAUUCCUUUCUCCCUCGCCUGAACAUGCCAUGCUCUGAACCAAAGGCAUUGCUUUUCUCGGCAUUUCUUUUCGUGAAGAUUAUACCAAAGUGGCUUUGAUGCCCUCUGUUCUAGGAACAAUGGAAACAAGUGUGGGCCAUGAUAGUAUAUUGCUUAAAUAGUGGUUUGGUAACAGCCACCCAAGUACCUAACCCAAAGCCGGCUAGACAGGGACAGGACCUCAUCUAGCUGGCUCUAGUAAAAGAGUAGAAUUGAAUAGUUAAUACCAACUAGACGUGUCCUGCUUGUAUACGUGCUCCGACCACACGUAGGCGGUGUUUGAUAACAGAGGCUAAACUUUAGCAGUGUCACAUAGGAUAUUCGGAUGCUAAUUAGGAGGACUAAACAUGAGUUAAUUAUAAAACUAAUUGCAGAACCUCUAGGCUAAUUGGCGAGAUGAAUCUAUUAGUCCCAAUUAAUCCAUCAUUAGCAAAUGGUUACUGUAGCACCAUAUUGUCAAAUCAUAGACUAAUUAGGCUUAAUAGAUUCGUCUCGCGAAUUAGACUCCAUAUAUGCAAUUAGUUUUGUAAUUAGCCUAUGUUUAAUAUUCCUAAUUAGUAUCAAACAUCCGAUGUGACGGGUGCUAAACUUUAGCGGGUAGUAUCCAAACACCCCCGUAGUCAAAGGGGCCGUUUGGUUCCAGAGCUAAACUUUAGCCCCUGUCACAUCGAAUGUUUAGAUUCUAAUUAGAAGUAUUAAACAUAGAUUAUUUACAAAACUCAUUGCACAGAUGGAGGCUAAACGAUGAGACGAAUCUAUUAAGUUUAAUUAGUUCAUGAUUUGACAAUCUGUUGUUAGACCAUUUACUAAUGAUGGAUUAAUUCGGCUUAAUAGAUUCAUCUCACUGUUUUAGCUUCCAUCUGUAUAAUUAGUUUUAUAAUUAACUCAUAUUUAAUCUUUCCACUUAGUCUUCGAACUUCAAACUUUUACUAAACUUUAAUUCAGGAUGAAACACCCCGAAGGCUCGUAGCUAUGGCUGCAAUGGAGUUGGAAAAGACCAAAACCGUUCUGAUGUCAUGUCAUACCUUUGCAGGAUGAGUCCAAACACUUUCAGGAUUGGCCUCAUUGGUUCUACAGCACCCUCACCCAUCCCGUGAUGGGACGCGAAUAAACGGCAAACUCUGACCUUGGAUUUGCACAGCAGAACUGUUCCCUUGGAUUGUGAAUUUGUGAUUAACCGAGCACCUGCCACUGCCCUGGUAAAUCCACCCUCGUUCGUAUCUAGAUCCUCAUCCUCCUAUUCUUACAUAUAUCUAAUAGAUAAUUAAUUUUGUAAAUAUCUAAUGGAUCCCUUCCUACUCUACCCUCUCCAUUUUUAAUAGGUAUAUAUUUUUCUACUUAUACCCUUUAGGUGGAAUUUGGGUAUGAAUUAUGGAUACCCAGGCUUAACCAAACCUGGGUCCGUGUUAAAAAAGGUGCACUUGCUUGUCAGUUUUUAUCCGUUAAAACAGAUAAGCUUCUUCUUUUUAACUGCGCAGCAGAUAAACUUUACCGUCAACGUAAAUUGUAGUCACGUUCGUACCAAAAGGAUAACUGUGUGCUUCCUAAAAAAUAAUGUUGUGUACUUACUGACAUUUACAUCUCUCAAGU
rnacentral:lncRNA from 1 species